GACGAACGCUGGCGGCGUGCUUAACACAUGCAAGUCGAACGGUAAGGCCCUUCGGGGUACACGAGUGGCGAACGGGUGAGUAACACGUGGGUGAUCUGCCCUGCACUUCGGGAUAAGCCUGGGAAACUGGGGCUAAUACCGGAUAGGACCCUGGGAUGCAUGUCCUGGGGUGGAAAGCUUUUGCGGUGUGGGAUGGGGCCGCGGCCUAUCAGCUUGUAGGUGGGGUGAUGGCCUACCAAGGGGACGACGGGUAGCGGGCCUGAGUGGGUGACCGGGCACACGGGGAAUGAGAUACGGCCCAGGCUCCUACGGGAGGCAGCAGUGGGGAAUAUUGCACAAUGGGCGCAAGCCUGAUGCAGCGACGCCGCGUGAGGGAUGACGGCCUUCGGGUUGUAGACCUCUUUCAGCACCGACGAAGCGCAAGUGACGGUAGGUGCAGAAGAAGGACCAGCCAACUACGUGCCAGCCGCCGCCGUAA
rnacentral:rRNA from 1 species